rnacentral:rRNA from 1 species
GACGAACGCUGGCGGCGUGCUUAACACAUGCAAGUCGAACGGAAAGGCCCCUUUGGGGGUACUCGAGUGGCGCACGGGUGAGUAACACGUGAGUAACCUGCCCUUGACUUCGGGAUAACUUCAGGAAACUGGGGCUAAUACCGGAUAGGAAUCCUUGCUGCAUGGUGGGGGUUGGAAAGCUUCGGCGGUUUUGGAUGGACUCGCGGCUUAUCAGCUUGUUGGUGGGGUAGUGGCUUACCAAGGCUUUGACGGGUAGCCGGCCUGAGAGGGCGACCGGCCACAGUGGGACUGAGAUACGGCCCAGACUCCUACGGGAGGCAGCAGUGGGGAAUAUUGCACAAUGGGCGGAAGCCUGAUGCAGCAACGCCGCGUGCGGGAGGACGGCCUUCGGGCUGUAAACCGCUUUCAGCAGGGGCGAAGCUUGUGGUGACGGUACCUGCAGAAGAAGCACCGGCUAACUACGUG